AGUCAGAGGCAUUCAUGCCCCUGUGAUGAGAUACACGGUUUCAUAGGCAACACUUUGGAGUUCCCAUUGUGGCUAAGUGGGUUAAGAACCUGACAUAGAGUCCAUGAGGAUAUGGGUUUGAUCCCUGGCCUCGCUCAGUGGGUUAAGCAUCCAGCAUUGCUGCACGCUGCAGUAUAGGUUCAGAGGCAGUUCAGAUCUGGCGUUGCUGUAGCUGUGGCGUAGGCCAGCAACUAGAGCUCCAAUUCGACCCCUAGCCUGGGAACUUCCAUGUGCUGCGGGUGCAGCUGUAAAAGAAAAAGAAAAAAUGCAAUAGUGAAAGCAGGUGAUAAAUGAGUUCCUGGAUGCACACAGAUAUGCUGGACCACUUGGUGUAGCUGCAGAAAAAGCAACACCGAAACCACUGCAAGGAAAGAUGCUUAGCAGGCACCUGUGGCCGAACAAGCAGAGUCUGUUCCCUCCCCAGGAGGCUGCUGCUGUGAUAAAGUGUCUCUUUAUCCAGCUGUCUUCUGCUAAUGAAGUGCACUUGUGUGAGGUUUUGAAGGUAGAAGAGAAAUGGAAUAUAUUCUUCUUCCCUGUGCAUCGAGGUUGGACAUGGAAGCUGUGAACUGAAGUUUGGCACUUGCCAUCAGCCUCUACAUGGAGUAAAACAGUCCCUGCAGCUGCCGACCCACAAGCCCCCUGAGCCAAUCUGAGGGUGGAGGCCAGGAGGGAGGCCCUCUGUGCUCUGGGGGUACUGGACGAACAGGUCUUCAGAUGGUUAGACAUUUUUAGGAGAAGAUUUUAUGAGCCUGAUUCUUGCAUCUCCUCAUAUCUAGAAAAACACUAAAAUUCUUCAGUGAUGACUGAUGUU
rnacentral:lncRNA from 1 species